GAAGUGGUGGCUCAGAGGGUAAAGCGUCUGCCUGCAAUGCAGGAGACCUGGGUUCGAUCCCUGGUUCA
rnacentral:tRNA from 1 species